rnacentral:sRNA from 1 species
UUAUCGGGGAAGGGUGAGAACCUUCGAUUAAGGUUCGACUCGAGCGAAAGCGAGAGAACGUUGCCAACGGCAACGGCCCGUAGGGUGAGGAGCGAAGCGACGAAUAAUCCUUCCCCCACCACCA